CCCACCACUACCCCAGGCCUCAGCGGCCGCCAUGACAACUGCGUGACCCCCCCGGGGCCCCACCACUACCGCAGGCCUCAGCGGCCGCCAUCAACCACCACAUCAACCUGGAGCCCGCGCCUUGUCCAUGUCUUCUUACUUUGACCGUGACGUUGUGUCUUUGAAGAACUUUGCCAAGUAUUUUCUUCCCCAACCUCAAGAGGCGAGGGAACAUGCUAAGAAACUACGAAGCUGCAGAACCCACGAGGGGGUCGAAUCCUCCCUCAGGAUAUUAAGAACCAGACGGUGACGAUGGGCAGAACGGGCUGAAUGCACCACAGUGUGCGUUACACUCGGAGAACGGCGUGAAUCAGACACGACCGGAACUGCACAAACUGGCCACUGGAGAAAAUGAUCCCACUUGUGUGACUUCAUGGAGACUCAUUACCCGAACGAGCAGGCGACAUCCAUCAGAGAACGGGUGAGCACGUCACCGAACCUGGCGCGUCAGAGCCUCUCGCUGACAGGCACGCCCUGGGAACCGCCGGUAGCGAGGCUGCCUUCCCACAGCCGUGGGGUGACGUCCCCGGUCACCGAGGCAGCGCAUGCGUGUUGGGGUUACCUUCACCUUUUCUAGAUGAAAUAAUAGAGAACAGUGAACAGAGAGAUGAAGCCUCCUCACCCUGAAAAUGCUUAUCUUUGCCCAGAAGUGACUUCUAACUUCCUUAGACAGGGUCUGGGGUGUGACCUGGCUGUCAAUAUUCUCCAGCGACCUUCCCAGGCAAAAAGCCAGGAAGACCUACAUAAUUUUCACCAUUGCUCCAACUGAAAGACUUCCCCAGAGUGCUGCCAGGACAGAUCUGGAACUUUCCUGAUAGCUGAUCGUGACUCCCCCUUUGCUGGCCUCCAGGCAUCCUGUUAAAACCUAAGUGCAGCCUGCCUCCAGAAUCUAAGGUGGGGUGUCAGAAGCCACAAGCUCCAAGUAAGCCUCUAUGACCCACUUGUUGACAGGUUUGAUCCAAUUUGGACACCAUGCUAACCCUCCAGAUGACCUCGAGAUCAUUACCAUCUGACUAUAAUAAAACACACACCUACUAGCACCUUGACAGAUCUGAUCAUGCAUAUUCAUGAGAAGAAAAAGGUGGCACUCUGAUUCCAGGAAGCCUCUUCCUCCCUACCAACCAAAACUCCAAGUCUUCUUGCUUCUUGGCCCGUUAAUUACCUUAACCCCAUGAAACCGUGACCAUGAGACCUAACUGGGGAGAAGGUACCUUUAGAGCAGGAGCUCCCUCUCCAUUCCCUGGUCAUUGAAUAAAUUACCUG